rnacentral:lncRNA from 1 species
AAACUCGGAAUGAAUGUGUAUCUGACAUGGGCUGGCCAUGUUAAAGAUUCAUGGUAAACUAGCAAAGCUUUUCACCUCCCUCAAUCAGGUUCAGAGAAGCAAAGCUCUCUUCUGGGCCAAAUACAAGCGUUUAUGAAUGAUUGACUAGUGUGUGCAAAAUCGCAAUCGCAGUGUCCUGAGACUGUUCAACUGCAGGAUCAGCUAACUCCUCCCCUUAACAAGCAGGUUGAGGUUCCUGCCUGUUGUUUGGUACUUGGUACCACUCCAUCAGAACACACACAGCUUCUCUGUAUGUUUGUCUAUGUGUCUGUGUGUCUGUCUUUUCCACAUUCCCUCGCCAGCCCUACUCAGGGCUCCAGAACAAAGUAGUGGAGGCUCUGGCACCCCACCCACAGGCCAGCAGAUAUGAAAGUUGGUGACUGUGCCCAAUGGAGUUUCAUCUAGUUGUAAAAAGCAAAACUGUCAUUUUCAGGGAGAAAAUGUAUAGAACUAGACAACAUUGUGCUAGGAGAACUGAGCCAGACCUAGAAAGGCAGCCACCGCAUGCUCUCUCUAAGACGUGGAACAUGAGGGGCUCUAUGUUGGUUUGUUGGUUUGUUUGUUGUGUUUGAAAGUAGAAGGGGAGCUGUCUGGGAAAUGAGAACAGAGGAGGGAGAGAGAAAAUGUUACCAUUCUGUCUAAACUCCACCCCACAGUUACCUGGCAACAGCCAGGGAGGCCUGGCCCACUACAAAAGGGGCUGCUUGCCCUCUCCUCUCUUUCUUACUCUUGCUUCCUGCUUGCUUCCCUCUUACCCUCUUGGGCUCUUCCCUUCCCCUUUCCCUUCCCCACUCUUUCUACGCGGUCAUGGCCAGCCUCUACUUCUCCACUCUCACUCUCUGCCUUUCUCUGCCUCUACUACCCUCUUAGCUCCCCUCCCUAUGCCCUGAAUAAACUCUGCUCUAUACU